rnacentral:rRNA from 1 species
AUUGAACGCUGGCGGCAUGCUUUACACAUGCAAGUCGAGCGGCAGCGCGGGGGCAACCCUGGCGGCGAGCGGCGAACGGGUGAGUAAUGCAUCGGAACGUGUCCCGUAGUGGGGGAUAACCCGCCGAAAGGCGGGCUAAUACCGCAUAUGCUCUACGGAGGAAAGGGGGGGAUCCGCAAGGACCUCUCGCUAUGGGAGCGGCCGAUGUCCGAUUAGCUAGUUGGUGGGGUAAUGGCUUACCAAGGCGACGAUCGGUAGCUGGUCUGAGAGGAUGAUCAGCCACACUGGGACUGAGACACGGCCCAGACUCCUAUGGGAGGCAGCAGUGGGGAAUUUUGGACAAUGGGGGCAACCCUGAUCCAGCCAUGCCGCGUGCGGGAAGAAGGCCUCGGUUGUAACG